GGAGGAUUCGCCUAGUGGCCUAUGGCGCACGCUUGGAAAGCGUGUUGAGCGUGAGCUCUCGAGGGUUCGAAUCCCUCAUCCUCCGCCA
rnacentral:tRNA from 1 species